ensembl:snRNA U6 U6 spliceosomal RNA
GUGCUCACUUCAGCAGGACAUAUACUAAAAUUGAAACAAUACAGAAAAGAUUAGUAUGGCCCCUGAUCAAGGAUGAUACCCAUAUUUGCGAAGCAUUUCAUAUUUUG